rnacentral:rRNA from 1 species
UACGUAGGGGGCAAGCGUUGUCCGGAAUCAUUGGGCGUAAAGCGCGCGUAGGCGGCCCCAUAAGUCCGCUGUGAAAGUCAAAGGCUCAACCUUUGAAAGCCGGUGGAUACUGUGGGACUAGAGUACGGAAGAGGCGAGUGGAAUUCCUGGUGUAGCGGUGGAAUGCGCAGAUAUCAGGAGGAACACCAAUAGCGAAGGCAGCUCGCUGGGACGUUACUGACACUGAGGCGCGAAAGCGUGGGGAGCGAACAGG